GGGGGAGGACUGAUGAGCUGCCGCGGCGCAGCGCAUAUGAGGGCCUUGGCUUUGAAUUUCAAGGCCCCCUUCCCCCACCCCAAGCCAGGCCUUCCGACAAUCUCUGUUCAGUGUCCUCUCACAGGUGGGAGCGGCCGGAUGAAAGGCCUGCGCGCGCUGCUGCUGCUGCUGCUGCUGCUGCUGCUGCUGCUGCUGCUGCGGAGCUGGGGUCCGCCCCCCACAGCCUCGCCCAGGCCCAGGAGCGGGCGCUGGCGCGGGAACGCCUCCUAAGGGGCUGAAGAGAGCGCGGCUCCUGCCAGCAGCCGGCGAGGAGCAGUUCCUGUCACGCUCGCUCGUGGCCACCUUCCCUGAUGCGGCAAACGUGCCCUGUCUGGGGCCUAGGGCACCCCGAGCGAGAGACGGAGCCGGGAAGGUUAAGGACGGGCACUGAUGGGACUCACGUGAGAUCCUAGCGUCUCCUUCUGGAACUUCUCUGCGUCUGCCUGAACGUGGUAACGUGCUCACGUCGUGCAGCGUCACGGUUGCCCCGUGGUACUGCGCAUGCCUCAAACCCUGCCGGGUAGUAACCUCUCCCCUAAUCUCCACCUAGUGCCUGACCAUCCUCACAGCCUGGGUUAAGGGAUACCUCUCCGUUGAAGCCUACCGUGAGGCCCAGUCUAGGGGGUCCCUGCUGCCUCUGAGCGCCACAGCCAGACUAGCAUGCAUGGGUCUCCCUGCCUGAGGGACUUGUGUCUGCUUCACCGUCCCCCUGGGGGACCCUCCCUCUCUCACCCCAGGCCAGGAUGCACAGCACAGGAGUUGCUCAACAAAGCCACAGAAGACUUGGGAUCCUCACCUGGAAGAUGGAAACGCUGGUCUCAUCCCUGCCAUAUAUACCAUCAUUCUGGUGAAGUCACAUGGGAACUGGACGUUAAAGGGCUAUCCCGAUUUUUCAACGCAGUACGCAAAUAAACUGGCCCUAAAAUUGCAAUGCUUUUGCUACACCCAUUAUUACUCCUUUGUUUAUGACGAUUAAUAAUGGAAACUGGAAGGAGGGCCCUUCUGAAUAACCCCUUUCAAUUCCUCACUAAUCUCCUCCGGGAGGAAAUGGCUUCAUUUACUCUCUCCUUGCACCCAGUUUCAGCAGCGAGUCGAGUGGGGAGAGGAGAUCGCUCAGCUGUGAAAUGGAGAUUGAGCCAACCUCUGCCCACCCAUUCACCCUCAGGUUCUCACUCAUGGGUCUGAUCAAGGUGUUCUCAUGACCUCAGGUGUCCCCGAUGUCUUGAAGUGGACAGAGACCAGCUUCCUGGGAUCUAACGUCAUAUGUAUGAAACGUUUAAAAACUGAAUGUGCCAUGAGAAAACAUUAAAAAGAAACUUAAAUGCA